CACUUCCUCAAUAUCGUCAACAUAUUGAAAUUCAAUUGUAUUAUUCAUCGUAUGUUGAAUCUUUUUUCUCUAAAACAUUUAAACCUUCACCAAAUUUACUUUAUGAUUGUGUCGUGUCACAUUUAAAAGAAUGCUAGCAUGAGGAAAGAGUAUUAUAGACAUAAUUCACAAUUUAAAAAUAUUCAAAAAUCUAGAUAUUGGUUCAAAUAGUUGCUUUGCAUUUGAUAAUAAACAGCUCUUGAUCAAUCUGGUUCAAAUCGGACUGGGCAGAAGGAUGACGAGAGGUGGCUGAUGGAAUGGGGAAGAUAACAGAUGCAUGCUCAACUAACCUUGACUUAGGCAUAGAACAUCUAAGAUUAGGCUGAUAAUAUCGCCGAGGGAACUCAGAGCAAGGAGCGUAUGAAUCUCACUGAUGAUGGGCACAUGUUCCACAUCAUCUGAAGGAAUCAACUCAUCCGUAGAUUGGGAGGUUGAAGAUGAUGGCAGGUGUAAGUGGCAUUGGGCCAUAGGAAUGGUGUUGUAAAUGGGGAGAUUGAAUGGAUGAGAUGCCUAAAUGGCUUAGCUUAACGGCGGAAACAGAGAGUGCGGUUGCCUUUAGGCUUUAGAUAUCAGGUAAGUGUUCCUUGCAGCAGCUUGUUCAAGACGGUUACGGUCCAAUGCGGGCACUGCACCAACCUCCUCUCCAUCAACAUGCAUGGUUUACUACUGCCUGUAGCAAAUUAGCUUCACCUUGGCCAUCCUUUCUUCUCUCCUUCUCACAUAUCAUGGUAUACCCAAAAGGGAAUAAUCGAGUCUCGUCCAAAACAUCUCCUAACUAAUAUCUUCAUUUCAUGUAUGGCAUUCUUUACUAAAAACGACUGCAGUAGUGGGAGUACUGUUUGUUCAUUUGUCCAUUAUUGCAAAAGAGCAUUCGCGGACUCGAGUUCAAGCAAUCCCUGGUCUUCUCUUGCUGGUUAUUCUUUGGGUUUUCAGAAUCUUUUUAACAGAUGAUGACCUGUGAUGAAACUUUCUUUCCUGCUUUUAUUUUUACUUCUUUUAAUUUUUCAUUUUUGUUAUGGUAAAGUGGGUAUGUAAUGAAUCAUAAGUCUUGGUAUGAGGACCAAGUCUGAAUUUCAAAAGACAUUAAUUGUAGAGAAAUCAAUAUUUACUUCCAAAGAAAAUCAACAAAUAGGAUAGUUGUGAUCAUCCA